UACGGAAGGCAGCAGUGGGGAAUAUUGCACAAUGGGCGCAAGCCUGAUGCAGCCAUGCCGCGUGUAUGAAAAAGGCCUUCGGGUUGUAAAGUACUUUCAGUCGUGAGGAAGGUGUUAAGGUUAAUAACCUUAGCAAUUGACGUUAGCGACAGAAGAAGCACCGGCUAACUCCGUGCCAGCAGCCGCGGUAAUACGGAGGGUGCGAGCGUUAAUCGGAAUUACUGGGCGUAAAGGGCACGCAGGCGGUUAAUUAAGUUGGAUGUGAAAUCCCCGGGCUUAACCUGGGAAUGGCAUUCAAGACUGGUUAGCUAGAGUCUUGUAGAGGGGGUAGAAUUCCAUGUGUAGCGGUGAAAUGCGUAGAGAUGUGGAGGAAUACUGGUGGCGAAGGCGGCCCCUGGACAAAGGCUGACGCUCAUGUGCGAAAGCGUGGGGAGCAAAC
rnacentral:rRNA from 1 species